CCUACGGGUGGCAGCAGUGAGGAAUAUUGGUCAAUGGGCGUAAGCCUGAACCAGCCAAGUCGCGUGAGGGAUGAAGGUUCUAUGGAUCGUAAACCUCUGUCAGCAGGGAAGAACGGUCACUGUGCUAAUCAGCAGUGAAUUGACGGUACCUGCAAAGGAAGCACCGGCUAACUCCGUGCCAGCAGCCGCGGUAAUACGGAGGGUGCGAGCGUUAAUCGGAAUUACUGGGCGUAAAGCGCUCGUAGGCGGUAUGUCAAGUCAAGGGUGAAAUCCCCGCGCUCAACGUGGGAACUGCCUUUGAAACUGGCAAACUGGAGUGUGUGAGAGGAUAGUGGAAUUCCAGGUGUAGGAGUGAAAUCCGUAGAUAUCUGGAGGAACAUCAGUGGCGAAGGCGACUAUCUGGCACAUAACUGACGCUGAGGAGCGAAAGCGUGGGUAGCAAACAGGAUUAGAUACCCUUGUAGUC
rnacentral:rRNA from 1 species